rnacentral:rRNA from 1 species
UACGGUGGCAAUAGCGAAAGGGCAACACCUGUUCCCAUCCCGAACACAGAAGUUAAGCCUUUCAGCGCCGAUGGUACUGCACUGGCGACGGUGUGGGAGAGUAGGUAGCCGCCGUUU